AGUUAAAGCUUCCACGCACCAGCAAGAUGAGUUGUACCACACAGCGCCCAUGCCAAGGUCAGCAGUCUGAAUGGAGCUGAGACACUUACUGCCCGUGCCAAGCAGUGCCAAGCACCUCUGGAAGCCCCUGCCUAGGACCCCCAAAUUUAGAUUCAUGCUGCAGUCUGGAGAGUGUUUUGACGGCUGCCGGGCUACAGGGAAAAGCGCACUGCACACUGCCUCUGAGAUGAGACAGAGCUCUCCAGGCUGGGAGUCUGGGGAAGCCGGACCUGGGUAGCGCUGCUCAGCUUUGGACCAUUUUCCUAACAGAUGAGAUUUCUGGAGAUUCGCUUCUCAUUCUUUGAGGGAAAAGCGGAGCCCUGUUCAGCAUUGGUCACCAGGUUGCAGGGGCAUCACUUCCUUUAUCCAGCAUCCUGCCUCUGCACCAUGUGAAGAAACCAACCCACUUUCCAAUGGCAAACCCAAGUUCAUGCAGACCAUAUUCUCCAACGUCUGUACUUCCCCUACCAGUUGGAUCUGUGUUCUUUUGCAGUUCUGGGGACUUUUCAAGACUCUACUGACUAAAUCUGCAAAGAGUGCCGAUAAUGCAACUCUUAAGCUGGCUUUCUGAGCUAUCAUGAUGUCUUUCCCUCUCUUUGUGCCCAAGACCGUGUGCUCUCUUGCCUUUGAAGAUCCAUGAUGUUUGAAACUCAUGAGACCCAAGGCAGAAGUGUCCAGACAACUAGGAGCUAAGUCAAGCUGCUUGCAUUCGCAAGCCAGGACUUGACUGGAGGGAAUACAAUAGAGGUGCAGACACUUCUGUGCUAACCUGUGAGUGCCUUUGGACCAUGAAAAUAAUGUGUCUGUGGGAAAGACAAUGGGUGGUUGCUUGUUGAUGCCUCCUGGGGUGCUGUUUGAUGAGCUCUGAAAUACGCACUCUGCUCACACACAGGGUCACAGAAGGCACGGGGAUCUUAAGUGCACUCGUUCUAGGGUCAUCAGUGAGCUGACACUAUGUGCAGAUGAGCCCCUCUGCUUCUCCUGGAAUCAUCAUUAGAUGGCCAGGAAGGAUCUCCGUGUUGGACUCCUCCAUUCUGAUACAUCCUGUCUUCAGGGAUAGAAAAUGUUCCUGGGGGAACACGGGAGCUAAAGAAACCUCAGCUUUUCUCGAGUGUCUGGAUUAUUCUGAACUACAUGGAUUAUGUUCAAGCCCAGGAUGAGUGGCUCAAAGCGUGGCUGUGAGUGAGUGAGACGAAGAAAAAUUGGGAUCAUAUUUUAUUCAACCAAGAGAAAUGGAAUCCAGCAUAGUAGAUUUCAUGUUCUUGGGAAAUAUGUCCUGUCAAUGGUGUUAUUGAGAAGAUAGGCAGAGAACACGUUCUCCCAGACAAGGAAGAGAAGAAGAUGUGGCCUUGGCUUUGUGAGCUGUGGCAGGGAGGGACCUAGCAUGGGAGCAAAGGUCUCUGGAAGCUUCCAGACAAACAAGUGUGGGUGUCGUUUGUCAGCUCCCUGAGAGUGGGUAUCGCAGAAGACUUCCUGUGUUUUCUGUGGAUAAAUACACAAAACUAUGCAUUACUGCAACACAAGCAGGCUUUAUACAUUUCUUUGGUUUUAACAAUUGCAUUAGAAACUUUGCUCUCCCCUGAAUCCUAAGAGGUGUGUUGUUGUCGUGGUUGUUUGUUUUUGCUUUUUUUUUUUUUUUCAAAUAGAGACAAAUACAGGAGAGAAGGAAGCGC
rnacentral:lncRNA from 1 species